GUUGGAUCCCAGCUGUCUUAUAUGUGCUGUGCAAUUUCUCCAAACAGAGCAAGUGACCAGUCACCACAGCAGCCUCAAGCCCCAGAUUUCAAAAUUUUCCGUGGAAAAUUAAGGUUGCUAUUUGAAACAAAGAGAAUGAAGCCAAGCAAAGUAAAUAACAAAAAAAUCACAGGAGAAACCAAAGAUGUUUUGGCAUCAACUAAACUUGGAUUGUAACAUUGACUCUGCCACUUUCUAGUUGUAAUGAGCUUCAAUUUUUGUCUUCUUAUAAAAUGAGGAUAAUAUUCCACACUUCACAGAGUUAUUGUAAGAAUCCAUUUAAGUAAAUGAAGUAACUGACAUGAAAACUGAUUAUACAACUUGCCUAAAGUCUUCCAACUAGGAACGAUGCUGCAUAUAUUUAAAUCUCUGUCUGUGCCACUAA